rnacentral:rRNA from 1 species
GACUUCUGGUUUAAUGCACCUGGCCCGCGGUCGCAAGAUUCGUGAGUGCCGGCGCGCGUUUACCAUCCUUCUAGGGAACGAGCCUUCCGUUUACUCGGCCGGGCUCGGGAUCUAGAUCAUUUACUUUGAAAAAAUUAGAGUGUUUAAAGCAGGCUUUUUGCUAUGAAUACAUUAGCAUGGAAUAAUAAUUUAGGACUUUGGCCCUAUUUUGUUGGUUUCUAGGACUGAAGUAAUGAUUGAUAGGGAUAGUUGGGGGUGCUCGAAUUCAGCGGCCAGAGGUGAAAUUCUUGGAUUCGCUGAAGACGAACUCAUGCGAAAGCAUU